AUGGCCACAUCAUGUUAAAACAUUGGUUCCUGUAUGAUCACCGAAGUUAAGCAAUGUUGAGCUUGGUUAGUACCUAGAUGAGUGACUGUUUGUGAAUACCAUGUGCUGUAAG
rnacentral:rRNA from 1 species